rnacentral:rRNA from 1 species
AGUGAACGCUGGCGGUAGGCCUAACACAUGCAAGUCGAACGGCAGCACAGGAGAGCUUGCUCUCUGGGUGGCGAGUGGCGGACGGGUGAGGAAUACAUCGGAAUCUACUCUGUCGUGGGGGAUAACGUAGGGAAACUUACGCUAAUACCGCAUACGACCUACGGGUGAAAGCAGGGGACCUUCGGGCCUGGCGCGAUUGAAUGAGCCGAUGUCGGAUUAGCUAGUUGGCGGGGUAAAGGCCCACCAAGGCGACGAUCCGUAGCUGGUCUGAGAGGAUGAUCAGCCACACUGGAACUGAGACACGGUCCAGACUCCUACGGGAGGCAGCUGUGGGGAAUAUUGGACAAUGGGCGCAAGCCUGAUCCAGCCAUACCGCGUGGGUGAAGAAGGCCUUCGGGUUGUAAAGCCCUUUUGUUGGGAAAGAAAUCCAGCUGGCUAAUACCCGGUUGGGAUGACGGUACCCAAAGAAUAAGCACCGGCUAACUUCGUGCCAGCCGCCGCAGUAA